UACGUAGGGGGCAAGCGUUGUCCGGAAUCAUUGGGCGUAAAGAGCGUGUAGGCGGCCCGAUAAGUCCGCUGUGAAAGUCCAGGGCUCAACCCUGGGAUGCCGGUGGAUACUGUCGGGCUCGAGUCCGGAAGAGGAGUGUGGAAUUCCUGGUGUAGCGGUGAAAUGCGCAGAUAUCAGGAGGAACACCAAUGGCGAAGGCAGCUCGGUGGGACGGUACUGACGCUGAGACGCGAAAGCGUGGGGAGCAAACAGG
rnacentral:rRNA from 1 species